AAAAAAAUAGAUCGAUUAUUAUUUCUUCUUUCUCUCUCUUUCCCGAUAAUCAGAACGACAAUCGGACGAGAUUGAAUGGUUUUCUGAGGUGAUCGGACGUUUUAUCAUCAUCUCCACCGUGGCCGAGUGUCAACGUCGACUGUGGAGCAGCUAAUCAGCCACUCGAUUCGUGGAAAACGGUGAGUCUCCUUCACCAAACCGAAGCUUUGCUUGGACCAAUCCGGAGAUUGUAUUAUACAAUUGUCUUUCUCAUGACUCAUUCUACAAUCUGGAGGUUGAGUGCAACAACCAACGAGGUUGUUUCGAACUCUAGCCCAGUGACUAAUGGUGGGUAUUUGAACGGAAAAGCCAAAACCAAAGUUAGAUUUUGACAACUAAAUCAAAGAUUGCUCAAGAGUUUCCCGGCUUGAUGUGCUUAAGUUGCAGAGAGGAUUUUAUUAAAGACGAUGUCUGCUACAGCAUGCUGAAUGAGUUGAAGAGCCUUCCAGUUUCCUGUAUCUUUUCCUUUUUCUGCUCUAGGAGUUGUAGGUUCGGCUUGGUUCUCCAUCUUUGACAACAUCCCAGAGAUCUUUAUUCAUGAGUGUGGUUUUCAUUCUUGCAGACCAGAACUCGUAAUUCUGUCCAUCAAAGACUGCAACAAGUUGAGAUGAUUGCAGCUUUACAGCAAGCUGCACCCCCAGCUCCAGUUUAUCACUCAAUACCUCCUCUAAUGGCAGACCUUCCAAUGCCUCCACCUCAGUCAGUGGCUCCUCCUCCUCCUCCUCCUCCUACCCCGGCCUCAACCUCUGCAACAGCAAAACCAACAACCAGUCCUCGUCUCAACCUCCACUCAAGAGUCCUAUGGCUGGUACUUGGAUUAAGUCGAAUCAAAGUUUUGAUAGUUCUCUAUCGAGAAAUCAAUAUCUGAGUGAGAAGACGUUACAUUUGAAUUUGAUUUGGGUUCUAUUAUCCCCAUUUAUGAUUUGCAUUUCCAUUUUUACAUUUGAAUCAAUAACUUGUAUGUUUAAAAAUUUAUGAAAUGCUAAAAUUUCUCA